rnacentral:rRNA from 1 species
UGGGGAAUUUUGGACAAUGGGCGAAAGCCUGAUCCAGCAAUGCCGCGUGUGUGAAGAAGGCCUUCGGGUUGUAAAGCACUUUUGUCCGGAAAGAAAUCCUUGGCUCUAAUACAGUCGGGGGAUGACGGUACCGGAAGAAUAAGCACCGGCUAACUACGUGCCAGCAGCCGCGGUAAUACGUAGGGUGCAAGCGUUAAUCGGAAUUACUGGGCGUAAAGCGUGCGCAGGCGGUUUGCUAAGACCGAUGUGAAAUCCCCGGGCUCAACCUGGGAACUGCAUUGGUGACUGGCAGGCUAGAGUAUGGCAGAGGGGGGUAGAAUUCCACGUNUAGCAGUGAAAUGCGUAGAGAUGUGGAGGAAUACCGAUGGCGAAGGCAGCCCCCUGGGCAAUACUGACGCUCAUGCACGAAAGCGUGGGGAGCAAACAGGAUUAGAUACCCUGGUAGUCCACGCCCUAAACGAUGUCAACUAGUUGUUGGGGAUUCAUUUCCUAGUAACGUAGCUAACGCGUGAAGUUGACCGCCUGGGGAGUACGGUCGCAAGAUUAAAACUCAAAGGAAUUGACGGGGUCAUAGCUGUUUCC